rnacentral:rRNA from 1 species
CGGGACGGGUGAGUAAUGUCUAGGGAAACUGCCUGAGUGGGAGGGGAUACUACUGGAAACGGUAGCUAAUACCGCAUAACGUCGCAAGACCAAAGAGGGGGACCUUCGGGCCUCUUGCCAUCGGAUGUGCCCAGAUGGGAUUAGCUAGUAGGUGGGGUAACGGCUCACCUAGGCGACGAUCCCUAGCUGGUCUGAGAGGAUGGCCAGCCACACUGGAACUGAGACACGGUCCAG